rnacentral:sRNA from 1 species
AGUCGAGUCCGGAGUGAGGAGCUCGGUCGCCGAAGCGGAGGGAGACUCUUGAGCUUCAGCUUGCCGCCGCCACGGCCACCGCCUGGACCUUUGCCCGGAGGGAGCUGCAGAGGGUCCAUCGCCGCCGUCCUCUGGAGGGCAGCGCGAUUGGGGGCCCGGACCUCCAGUCCGGGGGGGAUUUUUCGUCGUCCCCCUCCCCCCAGCCAGGGAACCCGAGCGGCCGCCAAACAAAGGUACCAGUCGCCGCCGCGGGAGGAGGAGGAGCCGGAGCCUCUGCCUCAGCAGCCACUGGACCCGCCGCCCUUCUUCCCCAUCUCUCCCCCGGGCCUGCUGGUUUUGGGGGGGAGAAGGAGAGACGGGACUCUGGACGUGCCAGGGUCAGAUCUCGCCUCCGAGGAAGGUGCAGCUGAACCUGGUGUUUUAGAAGAUACCUUGGUCCCAGAGUCAUCAUGAAGGCCCUUGAUGAGCCUCCCUAUUUGACAGUGGGCACUGAUGUGAGUGCUAAAUACAGAGGAGCCUUUUGUGAAGCCAAGAUCAAGACAGCAAAAAGACUUGUCAAAGUCAAGGUGACAUUUAGACAUGAUUCUUCAACAGUGGAAGUUCAGGAUGACCACAUAAAGGGCCCACUAAAGGUAGGAGCUAUUGUGGAAGUGAAGAAUCUUGAUGGUGCGUAUCAGGAAGCUGUUAUCAAUAAACUAACAGAUGCGAGUUGGUACACUGUAGUUUUUGAUGAUGGAGAUGAGAAGACACUGAGACGAUCUUCACUGUGCCUGAAAGGAGAGAGGCAUUUUGCUGAAAGUGAAACAUUAGACCAGCUCCCACUCACCAACCCUGAGCAUUUUGGCACUCCAGUCAUAGGAAAGAAAACAAAUAGAGGAAGAAGAUCUAAUCAUAUACCAGAGGAAGAGUCUUCAUCAUCCUCCAGUGAUGAAGAUGAGGAUGAUAGGAAACAGAUUGAUGAGCUACUAGGCAAAGUUGUAUGUGUAGAUUACAUUAGUUUGGAUAAAAAGAAAGCGCUGUGGUUUCCUGCAUUGGUGGUUUGUCCUGAUUGUAGUGAUGAGAUUGCUGUAAAAAAGGACAAUAUUCUUGUUCGAUCUUUCAAAGAUGGAAAAUUUACUUCAGUUCCAAGAAAAGAUGUCCAUGAAAUUACUAGUGACACUGCACCAAAGCCUGAUGCUGUUUUAAAACAAGCCUUUGAACAGGCACUUGAAUUUCAUAAAAGUAGAACUAUUCCUGCUAACUGGAAGACUGAAUUGAAAGAAGAUAGCUCUAGCAGUGAAGCAGAGGAAGAAGAGGAGGAGGAAGAUGAUGAAAAAGAAAAGGAGGAUAAUAGCAGUGAAGAAGAGGAAGAAAUAGAACCAUUUCCAGAAGAAAGGGAGAACUUUCUUCAGCAAUUGUACAAAUUUAUGGAAGAUAGAGGUACACCUAUUAACAAACGACCUGUACUUGGAUAUCGAAAUUUGAAUCUCUUUAAGUUAUUCAGACUUGUACACAAACUUGGAGGAUUUGAUAAUAUUGAAAGUGGAGCUGUUUGGAAGCAAGUCUACCAAGAUCUUGGAAUCCCUGUCUUAAAUUCAGCUGCAGGAUACAAUGUUAAAUGUGCUUAUAAAAAAUACUUAUAUGGUUUUGAGGAGUACUGUAGAUCAGCCAACAUUGAAUUUCAGAUGGCAUUGCCAGAGAAAGUUGUUAACAAGCAAUGUAAGGAGUGUGAAAAUGUAAAAGAAGUAAAAGUUAAGGAGGAAAAUGAAACAGAGAUCAAAGAAAUAAAGAUGGAGGAGGAGAAGAAUAUAAUACCAAAAGAAGAAAAGCCUAUUGAGGAUGAAAUUGAAAGAAAAGAAAAUAUUAAGCCUUCUCUGGGAAGUAAAAAGAAUUUAUUAGAAUCUAUACCUACACAUUCUGAUCAGGAAAAAGAAGUUAACAUUAAAAAACCAGAAGAAAAUGAAAAUCUGGACGACAAAGAUGAUGACACAACUAGGAUAGAUGAAUCCCUCAACAUAAAGGUAGAAGCUGAGGAAGAAAAAGCAAAAUCUGGAUACGACGAAUGGAUUAAAGCAGAUAAAAUAGUAAGACCUGCUGAUAAAAACGUGCCAAAGAUAAAACAUCGGAAGAAAAUAAAGAAUAAAUUAGACAAAGAAAAAGACAAAGAUGAAAAAUACUCUCCAAAAAACUGUAAACUUCGGCGCUUGUCCAAACCACCAUUUCAGACAAAUCCAUCUCCUGAAAUGGUGUCCAAACUGGAUCUCACUGAUGCCAAAAACUCUGAUACUGCUCAUGUUAAGUCCAUAGAAAUUACUUCAAUCCUCAAUGGACUUCAAGCUUCUGAAAGUUCUGCUGAAGACAGUGAGCAGGAAGAUGAGAGAGGUGCUCAAGACAUGGAUAAUAAUGGCAAAGAGGAAUCUAAGAUUGAUCAUUUGACCAACAACAGAAAUGAUCUUAUUUCAAAGGAGGAACAGAACAGUUCAUCUUUGCUAGAAGAAAACAAAGUUCAUGCAGAUUUGGUAAUAUCCAAACCAGUGUCAAAAUCUCCAGAAAGAUUAAGGAAAGAUAUAGAAGUAUUAUCUGAAGAUACUGAUUAUGAAGAAGAUGAAGUCACAAAAAAGAGAAAGGAUGUCAAGAAGGACACAACAGAUAAAUCUUCAAAACCACAAAUAAAACGUGGUAAAAGAAGGUAUUGCAAUACAGAAGAGUGUCUAAAAACUGGAUCACCUGGCAAAAAGGAAGAGAAGGCCAAGAACAAAGAAUCACUUUGCAUGGAAAACAGUAGCAACAGCUCUUCAGAUGAAGAUGAAGAAGAAAAAUCAAAAGCAAAGAUGACACCAACUAAGAAAUACAAUGGUUUGGAGGAAAAAAGAAAAUCUCUACGGACAACUGGUUUCUAUUCAGGAUUUUCAGAAGUGGCAGAAAAAAGGAUUAAACUUUUAAAUAACUCUGAUGAAAGACUUCAAAACAGCAGGGCCAAAGAUCGAAAAGAUGUCUGGUCAAGUAUUCAGGGACAGUGGCCUAAAAAAACGCUGAAAGAGCUUUUUUCAGACUCUGAUACUGAGGCUGCAGCUUCCCCACCGCAUCCUGCCCCAGAGGAGGGGGUGGCAGAGGAGUCACUACAGACUGUGGCUGAAGAGGAGAGUUGUUCACCCAGUGUAGAAAUAGAAAAACCACCUCCAGUCAAUGUCGAUAGUAAAUCCAUUGAAGAAAAAACAGUAGAGGUCAAUGACAGAAAAGCAGAAUUUCCAAGUAGUGGCAGUAAUUCAGUGCUAAAUACCCCUCCUACUACACCUGAAUCGCCUUCAUCAGUCACUGUAACAGAAGGCAGCCGGCAGCAGUCUUCUGUAACAGUAUCAGAACCACUGGCUCCAAACCAAGAAGAGGUUCGAAGUAUCAAGAGUGAAACUGAUAGCACAAUUGAGGUGGAUAGUGUUGCUGGGGAGCUCCAAGACCUCCAGUCUGAAGGGAAUAGCUCGCCAGCAGGUUUUGAUGCCAGUGUGAGCUCAAGCAGUAGUAAUCAGCCAGAACCAGAACAUCCUGAAAAAGCCUCUACAGGUCAGAAAAGAGUGAAAGAUGCUCAGGGAGGAGGAAGUUCAUCAAAAAAGCAGAAAAGAAGCCAUAAAGCAACAGUGGUAAACAACAAAAAGAAGGGAAAAGGCAGUAAGUGUGAAAUCUCUAAUUUUUAAAAUAUAAAAAUAAUAGCUGAUAAUUUUACCCCCAGUAAGAAAAUGGUAUUCAGGGUAUGGGAUAGUGGAUAGUACACUAUUUUGAUUUUGUCUGUACACUCAAAAAAAAGUCACACAGAUUCUGUAAGGCUACUUGCUUUAAAAAAAAAAAAAAAA